rnacentral:rRNA from 1 species
CGUAGGGUGCGAGCGUUGUCCGGAAUUAUUGGGCGUAAAGAGCUCGUAGGCGGUUUGUCGCGUCGGCCGUGAAAACUUGGGGCUUAACUCCAAGCUUGCGGUCGAUACGGGCAGACUUGAGUUCGGCAGGGGAGACUGGAAUUCCUGGUGUAGCGGUGAAAUGCGCAGAUAUCAGGAGGAACACCGGUGGCGAAGGCGGGUCUCUGGGCCGACACUGACGCUGAGGAGCGAAAGCGUGGGGAGCGAACAGGAUUAGAUACCCUGGUAGUCCACGCCGUAAACGGUGGGUGCUAGGUGUGGGGGGCCUCCACGCCCUCUGUGCCGCAGCUAACGCAUUAAGCACCCCGCCUGGGGAGUACGGCCGCAAGGCUA